rnacentral:rRNA from 1 species
UACGAAGGGUGCAAGCGUUACUCGGAAUCACUGGGCGUAAAGCGUGCGUAGGCGGUUCGUUAAGUCUGCUGUGAAAGCCCUGGGCUCAACCUGGGAACUGCAGUGGAUACUGGCGGACUAGAGUGUGAUAGAGGAUGGUGGAAUUCCCGGUGUAGCGGUGAAAUGCGUAGAGAUCGGGAGGAACACCAGUGGCGAAGGCGGCCAUCUGGAUCAACACUGACGCUGAGGCACGAAAGCGUGGGGGAG